UUACCACUGCUUUUCACUUGCCAUGAAGUAAUUUCUGGUGUUUGGCUCAUACAAAUUUCUAGCUUUCCACAAAUAAAAUGGAACAGACGGACACAGCAGCAUUUCACUAAAAUCCAACUCUUUAUUAGGUACUCGCCAAUUACCACCUACAAAUGGGAACAGUAAGGUGCCCAAACAGAUUUGCUCCCUAAAACCCGAAUCAUCGACUAAACAAGAGUACACCAAAGUCCAGAAAAUGGAGACCCUAAAAGUUUCAAUUCAGAACACAAACAAAUGAAGCCAUCACCAGUUCCCCAGUGCUCAUUCACUCCAGUAUCCAUCUUCCUUCUCAUCCUCCUCCUCGCCCUCUGCUUCACCAAUCUCCAUUGACGCCUCCUUGAACCGCUUGACAUUCUCCAAUGCCGCCUUCCGGAACAACCCAAUGUCCACUGCACCUGCAACCAUAUGGUAUCCCCUGUGCUUGAGCUGCUCAGCUGGGUCAUUGGGCAUCGCAAACCCACCCAAGUAAGCCGCA
rnacentral:lncRNA from 1 species